UUCCAGCUCCAAUAGCGUAUAUUAAAGUUGUUGCAGUUAAAAAGCUCGUAGUUGAAUUUCGGGAUCAAUACGUCGGUCGUGCUUUCGGGUACGUACUGGCGUCAUUGGUUUCUCCUUUCUGACGAACCAUGAUGUCAUUAAUUUGGUGUUAUGGGGAGUUAGGACUGUUACUUUGAAAAAAUUAGAGUGUUUAAAGCAGGCAUUAGCUUGAAUACAUUAGCAUGGAAUAAUGAAAUAGGACGUUCGAUCCUAUUUUGUUGGUUUCUAGGAUCAACGUAAUGAUUAAUAGGGAUAGUUGGGGGCAUUAGUAUUCAAUUGUCAGAGGUGAAAUUCUUGGAUUUAUUGAAGACUAACUACUGCGAAAGCAUUUGCCAAGGAUGUUUUCAUUAAUCAAGAACGAAAGUUAGGGGAUCGAAGACGAUCAGAUACCGUCGUAGUCUUAACCAUAAACUAUGCCGACUAGGGAUCGGAU
rnacentral:rRNA from 1 species